rnacentral:rRNA from 1 species
UACGUAGGGUGCGAGCGUUGUCCGGAAUUAUUGGGCGUAAAGAGCUUGUAGGCGGUUUUGUCGCGUCUGCUGUGAAAAUCCGGGGCUCAACCCCGGACUUGCAGUGGGUACGGGCAGACUAGAGUGUGGUAGGGGAGACUGGAAUUCCUGGUGUAGCGGUGGAAUGCGCAGAUAUCAGGAGGAACACCGGUGGCGAAGGCGGGUCUCUGGGCCGAUACUGACGCUGAGGAGCGAAAAGCGUGGGGAGCGAACAGG